rnacentral:lncRNA from 1 species
CCUGAACAAGUCAGAAUUUUUAUUAAAUAAUAUAUUAAAAAAUAAAGAUAUAAUACUGGAUGAUAUAAAUGUUGCUCAUAAUUGUAUUUUAAAAACUUUAAAAAAACAUAGCUCAUCUAUUUAUAAAUUAAAAAAAAAAUUAAAUAAAUCAAUUAUGUUGAAAGAUUUGAAGAGAUUACAUUGUUAUACAGUUAACACAAAUCAUAUAGAUUUUACAAAUUAUGAACAUACAAAAGAUUGUUCAUAUGGUAUAGUUAAUUAUAAUGACAUACAUAAUAUUAAUUGUCAUAUUGAUAAUCAUAGUGAUAAACAAAAAGAAAGUAUAAAAAUGAUAAAACAGUUUAUAAGUUCUUACGAUUCGUAUAUAUACCACAAUGUUGAGUUAUUUUUAAAUAUAAAAAAAGCAUAUAAAAAUAUAGCAUUACGAGUUGGUAAAAGUAGUAGUAGUAGUAGUAGUAGUAAUAAUAAUAGUAGUAAUAAUAAUAGUAGUAAUAAUAAUAAUGCUUUUUGUAACAUUGGUGAAAAUGUAGGAGGUAAUACAAAUAAUGCACCGCGAUGUAUUAUAAAUGAAAAACCGGUAGAUGCAUAUACGAUUGACAUUUCUACCGAAAAUGGUAAUAAUAUGGUAAGUUCUAGUUUAGCUAGUAAUACCCUCUCAAUUUAUGUAGAUGCAAGCUCAAACUCUAACAAUAUAUUAUCAAAAAAAGAAUUACUUAUUUACGACGAACAAAUCAUCCCUUACAAUAAAAAGGAUAUUGUUUGUAAAGAUAAGAAUGGUUAUUUAAAAAAAUGGAAGCCUUCUAAAGAAUAUAUGAUGAAAAGGGCAAAGGGUAGUAGUAGUAUUAGUAGUAUUAGUAGUAGUAUUAGUAGUAGUAGUAGUGGAAGUAUAGACAAAGGCAAAAGUAACAAAGACAAAAGUAACAAAGACAAAAGUAACAAAGACAAAAGUAANNNNNNNNNNAACAAAGACAAAAGUAACAAAGACAAAAGUAACAAAGACAAAAGUAAUAAAGACAAAAAAAAAAAAAAAAAAAAAAAAAUAACAAAUUUUUUUAACAGAAUAUAUGACUGUUACAAAAUAAUGUGUAAACUUGAACACAAUAACAGAUAUAUAGCAUGGUUGUGUAGCAAUAUGUCUUUAAUUGAUGUUGCUAUUAAUUUUAUUAUAAACGUUAGAUUAUUUGAACAUGUUAAAAGUGUUAAUAGGGGGACAGAAGGAGAAAGUAGUGUAACAAAUGGUUUAGUAUAUUAUAAUAAAAAACAUUUUAUACCAAAAAUUAUAUUAUAUUUAACGCAUCAAUCAUCAAUUUUAUCUUUUCAAUCAUGUAUUGGAAUUAAAAAUGAAUUUAUAAAAAUUCCCCCCUUUGCUGGAUUCGUGUCACUAGAAUUAAUACACAUAGAAAAGAAAAAAAAAGAAAUAAAAGAAAUAAAAGAAAUAAAAGAAAAAUUUAAAAAAGUUCAAUUAUGCAAUUGUUCUUCGAGUGCUAUCGUUCAUAAUGGGAAUAACAAAAGCAAUGCUUUUGAUUCAGGUAAUGCUACGUAUUCCCAUAAUAAACAGAUGCUAAACAAUAUUUACACUUUUAUUUAUAAUCAUGAUAUAGGCAGUAUAUUUUGUUGUAAGGCGGAUUGUGUAUGGAAAAGGAAAAGGACGGAAAGGUCGGAAAGGUCGGAAAGGUCGGAAAGGUCGGGAUAUGGUAAUGACAUUAAUGGUGGUAAUGACAUUACUAGUGGUAAGAGUAGAGACGGGGGUAAGGGUAAAACCAGAGACGACAAUAAAACCAGAGACGACAAUAAAACCAGAGACGACAACAAAAUCAGAGACGAUAAUAAAACCAAAAGUAAUAACGAAAAAACUGCAGAACAAAAAAAAAAUAAAUGUAAUGCCUCAUGGAGUAAUAACAAAUAUUUACCUAGGUGUUCAAGCAAGGUUGAAGAUUUUAAAAAUUUAUUUUAUUUGCUAUGUUAUAAUAAUAGUAAUACUGACAUAUAUGACCUCAUAAAUUUAUAUAACAUGUGUGUGAAUGAAAAUUAUACACAUAUUAAAAAGUUUGAAUUUAAAGAUAAUGGUAAAGAAAAAAAAAAAAGAAGGUAUUUCCAUGGAUAUUUUAUUAAGUUUACUUUUAAUAAUCAUUUUCCAUUAAAAUUAAAAAAAAACAAACAUAUUAGUAAGCAUAGUAUUGGCCCUAGUUUCAAUGGCGCUGCGCCUUAUCCAAACGAGGGAGCAGAAACAACGGUAGUGAAUAAAGAAAAACGUGGAUGUUCAAAAAAAUGGAAUCGGAAACAGUGUCAAGUGCAACAAGAAAAAAAGAAAAAUGAUUUUUAUGUAGUUCCACGUAAAGAUGAAACCGUCAUGCACCAAUCAAGUCACGAAACAAAUUUUCAUAAAAAGGUUAAAAAAAAAAAACAUGAACAAAAAAAGAAAAAAAAAGAAAAAAAAAAAAAAAAAGAAAAAAAAAAAAAAAUUAUGGAAAAAAUUAAACAUGAACAACGUUAAUAGUAAUUUUAACGUUAAUUGCCAUUAUAAACUUUAUUGUAAAAAUGAUACAUAUAUGAGUUACGUAUAUAAUAGUAAAAAUAAUAUGUAUGGAAACAGGUAUUUAAAAUUAAACAAAAAAAAUAAAUUUAAAUUCACUGCUCA